rnacentral:rRNA from 1 species
UACACUCCUACGGGAGGCAGCAGUGGGGAAUUUUGGACAAUGGGCGAAAGCCUGAUCCAGCAAUGCCGCGUGUGUGAAGAAGGCCUUCGGGUUGUAAAGCACUUUUGUCCGGAAAGAAAUCCUUGGCUCUAAUACAGUCGGGGGAUGACGGUACCGGAAGAAUAAGCACCGGCUAACUACGUGCCAGCAGCCGCGGUAAUACGUAGGGUGCGAGCGUUAAUCGGAAUUACUGGGCGUAAAGCGUGCGCAGGCGGUUUGCUAAGACCGAUGUGAAAUCCCCGGGCUCAACCUGGGAACUGCAUUGGUGACUGGCAGGCUAGAGUAUGGCAGAGGGGGGUAGAAUUCCACGUGUAGCAGUGAAAUGCGUAGAGAUGUGGAGGAAUACCGAUGGCGAAGGCAGCCCCCUGGGCCAAUACUGACGCUCAUGCACGAAAGCGUGGGGAGCAAACAGGAUUAGAAACCCCUGUAGUCCCA